rnacentral:rRNA from 1 species
UGAAGCGGUGAAUUUAAGCCCCAGUAAACGGCGGUGGUAACUAUAACCAUCCUAAGGUAGCGAAAUUCCUUGUCGGGUAAGUUCCGACCUGCACGAAUGGCGUAAUGAUGGCCAGGCUGUCUCCACCCGAGACUCAGUGAAAUUGAAAUCGCUGUGAAGAUGCAGUGUAUCCGCGGCUAGACGGAAAGACCCCGUGAACCUUUACUAUAGCUUUGCACUGGACUUUGAAUUUGCUUGUGUAGGAUAGGUGGGAGGCUUUGAAGUGGGGACGCCAGUUCUCAUGGAGCCAUCCUUGAAAUACCACCCUGGCAACUUUGAGGUUCUAACUCAGGUCCGUUAUCCGGAUCGAGGACAGUGUAUGGUGGGUAGUUUGACUGGGGCGGUCUCCUCCCAAAGAGUAACGGAGGAGUUCGAAGGUUACCUAGGUCCGGUCGGAAAUCGGACUGAUAGUGCAAUGGCAAAAGGUAGCUUAACUGCGAGACCGACAAGUCGAGCAGGUGCGAAAGCAGGACAUAGUGAUCCGGUGGUUCUGUAUGGAAGGGCCAUCGCUCAACGGAUAAAAGGUACUCCGGGGAUAACAGGCUGAUACCGCCCAAGAGUUCAUAUCGACGGCGGUGUUUGGCACCUCGAUGUCGGCUCAUCACAUCCUGGGGCUGAAG